rnacentral:rRNA from 1 species
AUGUGUGUUCGAAAAGAUCAAGGAGGUAUGGGCUUCCGAGAUAUACACUGUUUCAACCUGGCGCUAUUAGCUAAACAAGCGUGGCGUCUUCUCGAUAAUCCGGAAUCUUUAUGUGCAACCAUCUUGAGAGCUAAAUAUUUCCCUGAGGGAGAUUUGAUGAACGCAAGUUUAAAGAAGGGAUCCUCCUUUACUUGGCAAAGCAUUAUGGCGGGAGUGAACUCUGGCGAGUUGGAAAUGGACAAAACAUUGAUAUUUGGAGAGAUGCGUGGAUUUCGAAUUGUGCGAAUAGGAAAAUUAUUACUCCUAGAGGUGGGCAACUUCUGUCAAAGGUGGCUGAUCUUAUUGAUCCAAUCACAAAUUUCUGGGAUGAAGAUUUGGUGA